rnacentral:rRNA from 1 species
UGGGGAAUUUUGGACAAUGGGCGAAAGCCUGAUCCAGCAAUGCCGCGUGUGUGAAGAAGGCCUUCGGGUUGUAAAGCACUUUUGUCCGGAAAGAAAUCCUUGGCUCUAAUACAGUCGGGGGAUGACGGUACCGGAAGAAUAAGCACCGGCUAACUACGUGCCAGCAGCCGCGGUAAUACGUAGGGUGCAAGCGUUAAUCGGAAUUACUGGGCGUAAAGCGUGCGCAGGCGGUUUGCUAAGACCGAUGUGAAAUCCCCGGGCUCAACCUGGGAACUGCAUUGGUGACUGGCAGGCUAGAGUAUGGCAGAGGGGGGUAGAAUUCCACGUGUAGCAGUGAAAUGCGUAGAGAUGUGGAGGAAUACCGAUGGCGAAGGCAGCCCCCUGGGCCAAUACUGACGCUCAUGCACGAAAGCGUGGGGAGCAAACAGGAUUAGAUACCCUGGUAGUCCACGCCCUAAACGAUGUCAACUAGUUGUUGGGGAUUCAUUCCUUAGUAACGUAGCUAACGCGUGAAGUUGACCGCCUGGGGAGUACGGUCGCAAGAUUAAAACUUAAUGAAUUGACGGGGUCAUAGCUGUUUCCU